GCCGGUGUUGCUUAGUGGUUAGAGCGUUGACCUUCGAACCCAAGGGCUGUGGGUUCAAUUCCUGGUCAAAGGCA
rfam:Myotis lucifugus cont2.50783, whole genome shotgun sequence.